rnacentral:rRNA from 1 species
AUUGAACGCUGGCGGCAUGCUUUACACAUGCAAGUCGAACGGUAACAGGUUAAGCUGACGAGUGGCGAACGGGUGAGUAAUGCAUCGGAACGUGCCCGAUCGUGGGGGAUAACACUUCGAAAGAAGUGCUAAUACCGCAUACGAUCUGAGGAUGAAAGCGGGGGACCGUAAGGCCUCGCGCGAUCGGAGCGGCCGAUGUCAGAUUAGGUAGUUGGUGGGGUAAAGGCUCACCAAGCCGACGAUCUGUAGCUGGUCUGAGAGGACGACCAGCCACACGGGGACUGAGACACGGCCCAGACUCCGACGGGAGGCAGCAGUGGGGAAUUUUGGACAAUGGGCGCAAGCCUGAUCCAGCAAUGCCGCGGGCAGGAAGAAGGCCUUCGGGUUGUAAACUGCUUUUGGACGGAGCGAAAAGGCUCCCUCUAAUACAGGGGGCUCAUGACGGUACCGUAAGAAUAAGCACCGGCUAACUACGUGCCAGCCGCCGCGGUAA